rnacentral:rRNA from 1 species
GAGUUUGAUCCUGGCUCAGGAUGAACGCUAGCGGCAGGCUUAACACAUGCAAGUCGAGGGGUAACAGGAGCUUGCUCCUGUGAGACCGGCGCACGGGUGCGUAACGCGUAUGCAAUCUGCCUUUUACAGGGGAAUAGCCCAGAGAAAUUUGGAUUAAUGCCCCAUGGUAUAUUUGAGUGGCAUCACUUGAUUAUUAAAGAUUUAUCGGUAAAAGAUGAGCAUGCGUCCCAUUAGCUAGUUGGUAAGGUAACGGCUUACCAAGGCUACGAUGGGUAGGGGUCCUGAGAGGGAGAUCCCCCCACACUGGUACUGAGACACGGACCAGACUCCUACGGGAGGCAGCAGUGAGGAAUAUUGGACAAUGGGCGCAAGCCUGAUCCAGCCAUGCCGCGUGCAGGAUGAAGCAUCUAUGGUGUGUAAACUGCUUUUAUACGGGAAGAAACCCUGGCUCGUGAGCCAGACUGACGGUACCGUAAGAAUAAGGAUCGGCUAACUCCGUGCCAGCCGCCG